rnacentral:rRNA from 1 species
UAGGGAAUCUUCGGCAAUGGGGGGAACCCUGACCGAGCAACGCCGCGUGAGUGAAGAAGGUUUUCGGAUCGUAAAGCUCUGUUGUUAAGGAAGAACGAGUGUGAGAAUGGAAAGUUCAUACUGUGACGGUACUUAACCAGAAAGGGACGGCUAACUACGUGCCAGCAGCCGCGGUAAUACGUAGGUCCCGAGCGUUGUCCGGAUUUAUUGGGCGUAAAGCGAGCGCAGGCGGUUAGAAAAGUCUGAAGUGAAAGGCAGUGGCUCAACCAUUGUAGGCUUUGGAAACUGUUUAACUUGAGUGCAGAAGGGGAGAGUGGAAUUCCAUGUGUAGCGGUGAAAUGCGUAGAUAUAUGGAGGAACACCGGUGGCGAAAGCGGCUCUCUGGUCUGUAACUGACGCUGAGGCUCGAAAGCGUGGGGAGCGAACA